GCUCCAUAGAUGGGGAAUCCUGCCCAAUGCCUUCAGUACAGCAGGAGAGGAAACCUUUGAGGCCUUUGUCCCCCUGGAUUACGGACAUAUUACUUGCUGCACCUUUGGGUAUUAGAAGUGAUUACUUCCGUUGGUGCAGUGGUGUCAUGGGUAAAUAUGCAGCUGGAGAGCUCAAGCCACCUACAACUGCUUCAUCUCGUGGAUCUGGGAAGCAUCCUCAGCUUAUGCCAUCAACCCCAAGAUGGGCUGUAGCCAAUGGUGCUGGGGUUAUAUUAAGUGUGUGCGAUGAUGAAGUGGCUCGCUAUGAGACUGCUACAUUAACUGCGGCUGCUGUCCCUGCACUUUUACUUCCUCCUCCUACAACAGCUCUAGAUGAACAUUUAGUUGCUGGGCUACCGGCCCUUGAGCCAUAUGCACGUUUGUUUCAUCGGUAUUAUGCCAUUGCAACUCCAAGUGCCACCCAGCGGCUUCUUCUUGGACUUUUAGAAGCACCACCUUCGUGGGCUCCAGAUGCACUUGAUGCUGCCGUACAGCUUGUGGAACUCCUCCGAGCUGCUGAAGAUUAUGCAUCUGGCAUAAGGCUUCCCAGGAACUGGAUGCACUUGCAUUUCUUGCGUGCAAUUGGGAUUGCAAUGUCCAUGAGAGCAGGAAUUGCUGCUGAUGCUGCAGCAGCCUUACUUUUUCGCAUACUCUCACAGCCUGCAUUGCUGUUUCCUCCACUAAGGCAAGUUGAGGGAGUUGAAGCUCAACAUGAACCCCUGGGUGGUUAUAUUUCAAGCUACAGAAAGCAGAUAGAAGUGCCUGCAGCAGAAGCAACUAUUGAAGCAACUGCUCAAGGGAUUGCAUCUAUGCUUUGUGCCCAUGGCCCCGAGGUUGAAUGGAGAAUUUGCACCAUAUGGGAAGCUGCUUAUGGCCUGAUUCCCUUGGGUUCCUCAGCAGUUGAUCUUCCUGAAAUUGUAGUAGCAUCUCCAUUGCAGCCUCCUAUAUUAUCAUGGAACCUGUACAUACCUCUUCUUAAGGUCUUGGAAUACCUUCCUCG
rnacentral:misc_RNA from 1 species